UACGAGGGGUGCAAACGUUGCUCGGAAUUAUUGGGCGUAAAGCGCACGUAGGCGGCUUAGCAAGUCGGAAGUGAAAUCCCACGGCUCAACCCAGUGGAGCACUCGAUACUGCGGUGACUAGAGUACGGUAGAGGAGUGUGGAAUUCCUGGUGUAGCGGUGAAAUGCGCAGAUAUCAGGAGGAACACCAACGGCGAAGGCAGCACUCUGGGGCCGGUACUGACGCUGAGGAGCGAAAGCGUGGGGAGCAAACAGG
rnacentral:rRNA from 1 species